rnacentral:rRNA from 1 species
UGCCAGCAGCCGCGGUAAUACGGAGGGGGUUAGCGUUGCUCGGAAUCAUUGGGCAUAAGGGCGUCUAGGCGGACAGGUCAGUCGGUUGUGAAAUCCCUCGGCUUAACCGAGGAACUGCAGCCGAUACUGCUUGUCUUGAGGAUGAGAGGGGAGAGUGGAACUCCAGGUGGAGCGGUGAAAUGCGUAGAUAUCUGGAGGAACGCCGGCGGCGAAAGCGACUCUCUGGCUCAUUCCUGACGCUGAAGCGCGAAAGCUAGGGGAGCGAACGGGAUUAGAUA